AGAGUUUGAUCCUGGCUCAGGACGAACGCUGGCGGCGUGCCUAAUGAAUGCGAGUCGAACGGAACAUAGAGAUCGUGAUUGCUUUCGGGCGGUCACCCUUUAUGUUUAGUGGCAAACGGGUGAGUAACACGUGGAUAACGUGCCUUCAAGCCGAGGAUAACAGGGCGAAAGUCCUGCUAAUACUCGAUGGUCUGCCCCUGCUUUGGCGGGGACCAGUAAAGCUCCGGCGCUUGGAGAUCGGUCCGCGGUCCAUUAGCUUGUUGGUGGGGUAAUGGCCCACCAAGGCGACAAUGGGUAGCUGGUCUGAGAGGACGAUCAGCCACACUGGGACUGAGACAUGGUCCAGACUCCUACGGGAGUUAGCAUCCGGGAAUCUUGCACAAUGGGCGCAAGCCUGAUGCAGCGACGCCGCGUGGGUGAUGAAGGUCUGCGGAUCGUAAAGCCCUGUCAGGAGGGACGACACCCGACUGUACCUCCAAAGGAAGCCCCGGCUAACUACGUGCCAGCAGCCGCGGUAAAACGUAGGGGGCUAGCGUUGUCCGGAAUUACUGGGCGUAAAGGGCACGCAGGCGGUCUGUAAAGCGGUGGGUGCAAUCUCGAGGCUCAACCUCGAAACUGCUUGCCGAACUGGCAGACUAGAGCACGGGAGAGGACAGUGGAAUUCCCGGUGUAGCGGUGGAAUGCGUAAAUAUCGGGAGGAACACCAGUGGCGAAGGCUGCUGUCUGGAACGUUGCUGACGCUGAGGUGCGAAAGCUAGGGGAGCGAACGGGAUUAGAUACCCCGGUAGUCCUAGCCGUAAACGAUGCUCACUAGGUGUUGCCGGCAUUAACCCCGGCAGUGCUGUUCUGCUAACGCGCUAAGUGAGCCGCCUGGGGAGUACGGCCGCAAGGCUGAAACUCAAAGGAAUUGACGGGGGCCCGCACAAGCGGUGGAGCAUGUGGUUUAAUU
rnacentral:rRNA from 1 species